CAAGGCGCAUGCCCAGACCCCCUGCUCUGUUUGUAUAUCCGGCUAAGUAUCACACCCCCUACUUCCAGAGGCUGAGAGCGGGGAGAGAUCUCUGUCUUCACCACGGACCACCACCUUAAGAGCAAAGAACUUCACUGGAGAAGGAGCCGCCUCACUCCCCAAGCAGCAGUGAGGACGAGGUGCUUCUGCCAGUUAGCGUGGGGCCAUGGGCCUGGCAUUUGAACAAGAAGUGAGGCCAAGACUAAACGAAAUCAAACUGUGAAUAAAGGAAGAUUAAAAUAAAAAUUGACAGCAUGGUUCACAGAGCUAGCGCCGUGGCUCAGCUGCCUGGAAGUCGUUGCCAUCAUACACUUUGGACACAAGACAUGAAAAAUUGCCUCGAGAGGUACUGGCAAGAGAAGGUUGUGGGAAGCAGAUUUGUCUGCACUUUGUCGCGCCCACAACACUGGAAAGGUAAG